rnacentral:rRNA from 1 species
UACGGAGGGUGCAAGCGUUAAUCGGAAUUACUGGGCGUAAAGCGCGCGCAGGCGGCGUGUCAAGUCGGAGGUGAAAUCCCCGGGCUCAACCCGGGAACUGCAUUCGAAACUGGCAGACUAGAGUAUUGUAGAGGGGGGUAGAAUUCCAGGUGUAGCGGUGAAAUGCGUAGAGAUGUGGAGGAAUACCGAUGGCGAAGGCGGCCCCCUGGACAAAGACUGACGCUCAGGUACGAAAGCGUGGGGAGCAAACAGG